rnacentral:rRNA from 1 species
UACGUAGGCAGCAAGCGUUGUUCGGAGUCACUGGGCGUAAAGGGUGUGUAGGCGGUUGUUUAAGUUUGGUGUGAAAUCUCCCGGCUCAACUGGGAGGGUGCGCCGAAUACUGAAUGACUAGAGUGUGGGAGAGGUGAGUGGAACUCCUGGUGUAGCGGUGAAAUGCGUAGAUAUCAGGAGGAACACGGUGGUGUAGACGGCUCACUGGACCAUAACUGACGCUGAGACACGAAAGCGUGGGUAGCAAACAGG